rnacentral:pre_miRNA from 1 species
UUAGCUCAUAUUUGUAUGGAAUAGGAUCGUUUGCCUACGUUUGUCGCUAGGGGCGCUGUUCUAACUGCAUACAAAAUUGGGCUA